UACUGGUGUCAGGGACGCAGAGCAGUGCCUCUGGGUUGCCGGUCCAGGGGAUGUGUCCCUGAGCAUUUGAGGAGAGGAGAGGGGGUGGUCAGCUGUUUCAUUUUGGGGUUCUUCCUGACCCUUAGAAGACUGAGAUGAGCCCGACUGCAAAGAAGAUGAAGUUGAAGUCACUCUUCUAGAAACUGGGCGGAUCUUGUGGUGAUAAAGAGGGAAGGAUGGGCCUUUGAUCUCUGUCUCUCUUCUCUUAACGUAGAACAUGGCUCAGCUUACCAGACAUCAUAUCUGGACCUGGAUCUUCCUGGCGUCACCCUCAUUGGCUGUCCUGGAGACACACUUUGCGAUCCCUGCAAGCUCAUUUCAGUCCUCAGAGUGCCUGCAACCCUUGCCACUGAGAUUCGAGUGAAGAAUGAGAUAAGUACUAAGAAUGUGGUCGAUUGGGCUUGAGUCCCCUCACAAACUUAUACUGGAUAACCCAGCAGGAGACUUCGCGUGCUGAACACUCCCCCGUGUGAUUCCCACAAUGAAAGGACAUUGCUGACUGGAACCAGAGUGUGUCCCCCAACCCCUCAUUUCCAAACCAUGUUCUGGCCAACUGACCAGACACAGGUCUCUAGUAGCUUCUGGUGUUUCAGAGACCAAGGAAGGUCAAGUUUGGUGAUAGUUCUAGAUUUCUUUGGCUUCUGUACACUCAGAGCUUACAUUAGGAGAACCCUCGUUCUCUCAUGAGUUCCCACACAGCCCGCUGUUCUGGUCAUGCUCUGCUGAAGCAGUCUGCCCAUCAUGGCCUGCUAACUGGUCUUCCAUGGAGGCACUGAGGCUGCGUCACCUUGACCUUCAGAGCCAUACC